GGCUGUGAACUGGUGCAGUUUGCCGACGAUUUUGCGGCUAUCAUCAAAGCAGAUUCAGUGGAAGAAGCAGCCGAACUGUGUUCAAGAUUCCUACCCAAAUUGUUCGACAAGCUGGAGUGUCUGAACUUGAAAGUGAGCAGCCAAAAGUCAGCAAUCAUCCCCUUUACCAAGAAGAGACUAGAAGGUCUAAAAGUAAAGGUGCGUGGUGAGCAAAUUGAGCUGGUUAAUACACAUGCGUAUCUGGGCUAUGUACUCGACAGAGGACUCACACACAGAAAGCACAUCGAAGCGGUGAAGGAAAAAGCGGGCGCCAAGAUGGGCCUACUGAAGAUGUUGUCAAGGAAAUCGAGUGGAGCAAACCCUGAAACACUGGUGAAAAUAGGGAACGCUCUCAUCCGUAGCAGAAUGGAGUAUGGCGCAACUGUAUAUGGAAAUGCAGCGAAAACAAAUUUAAACAAGCUUCAGGUGCUGCAGAAUGCGUACAUACGUAAAGCAAUGCACUAUCUAAGCAGCACGCCAAUCCAUGUUAUGCUAGCCGAAGCAGGACAACUCCCGAUGAAGCAGAGGAUUGAAAAUCUGACCAAGAGGGAGCUCAUCAGAACAAUAUGGUAUAGUGUAACAAAGUUACAAACUUUCCUUCCUAAAAUUAAAAAAAAAAAAAACUAAAGGUAUUCCUUAUGCUGUAAAAAAAAAAAUGUUUUCAAUCCCUGCCUAAAUUAAAUUCAAACCUGAACAGCAUACGAAAUAUGCCCUCGUCUAAAUCCACAGCGAAAGCGUUCCCACUCUCUGAUUCGUAUCUAAUGCAGACCAAAGACAGUUCAAGUCGGCGGUUUUCGAUACCGAAAGUGAACGGAUGUAAAACACGAUCCCUAAAACAAUAGCCUCGCGAUACGAUAUAGGAUGAAAGGUCCAGAAAACAAGAUUAAAGGCUCUCUUAGUAUUUGACCACCGAAGAGUAAGGUUGCCCUCUUGAGAAGUGCGAAGAAAGUUAAAAACGUGAUAAAGCAAUACGAUUAGAAAAUCUUGUUGAUUUGCCAGUGAUUAAUAGACUGUAAACCCAAGUGAAAUAAAUCUAGUGAGCACGGAGUGAUUUGUAAGUCCCGUAGAAAUUAUUACAAAGCUUAUAAAUCUAAUCGAAUGUCUUAUUUAGGCUCAGUACGUCGAACGAGCACCGUGCACAAAGUUUAGUUAAAUCACGUGGUGUGAAUAACAGGCUUUCCUUCAAAUGAAGGUCUAACCCCCAGGACCAGUCUAAGGCCGUAGUGUAUCGCCACCCGUGACGCCCCGUGUGAAAAUCGCCAGUAGUGACGUGAUGCGAUCGUCAUUGCGUCAUCAAGUUUUGUGAACGGUCCCUCGCCCGUGACAGUUAAACGGGAUAGCCACUAGUCCGACUCCCAACGGCGAACGGAAUCUCACAGCGAUCGUACUGAGGUUACGACGGUUACGUUCGGCACUGAGAAGCACCUCUUGCCUACCAUCAGGGGCAACCACGUGCCGCUGGAAGCACGGCUACUACGUGCCGCUGGCCUCGAGAUUGCAGCGAAUGGGCAGUAGCGUACGCAGGAGUAAAGAAAAAAGGGCAAGUAGCAAGAAAAUGGAAAAAUUGUAAAAACUAA
rnacentral:lncRNA from 1 species